rnacentral:rRNA from 1 species
CGAGGGGAGUGAAAAAGAACCUGAAACCGUGUACGUACAAGCAGUGGGAGCACGCUUAGGCGUGUGACUGCGUACCUUUUGUAUAAUGGGUCAGCGACUUAUAUUCUGUAGCAAGGUUAACCGAAUAGGGGAGCCGAAGGGAAACCGAGUCUUAACUGGGCGUUAAGUUGCAGGGUAUAGACCCGAAACCCGGUGAUCUAGCCAUGGGCAGGUUGAAGGUUGGGUAACACUAACUGGAGGACCGAACCGACUAAUGUUGAAAAAUUAGCGGAUGACUUGUGGCUGGGGGUGAAAGGCCAAUCAAACCGGGAGAUAGCUGGUUCUCCCCGAAAGCUAUUUAGGUAGCGCCUCGUGAAUUCAUCUCCGGGGGUAGAGCACUGUUUCGGCAAGGGGGUCAUCCCGACUUACCAACCCGAUGCAAACUGCGAAUACCGGAGAAUGUUAUCACGGGAGACACACGGCGGGUGCUAACGUCCGUCGUGAAGAGGGAAACAACCCAGACCGCCAGCUAAGGUCCCAAAGUCAUGGUUAAGUGGGAAACGAUGUGGGAAGGCCCAGACAGCCAGGAUGUUGGCUUAGAAGCAGCCAUCAUUUAAAGAAAGCGUAAUAGCUCACUGGUCGAGUCGGCCUGCGCGGAAGAUGUAACGGGGCUAAACCAUGCACCGAAGCUGCGGCAGCGACGCUUAUGCGUUGUUGGGUAGGGGAGCGUUCUGUAAGCCUGUGAAGGUGUGCUGUGAGGUAUGCUGGAGGUAUCAGAAGUGCGAAUGCUGACAUAAGUAACGAUAAAGCGGGUGAAAAGCCCGCUCGCCGGAAGACCAAGGGUUCCUGUCCAACGUUAAUCGGGGCAGGGUGAGUCGACCCCUAAGGCGAGGCCGAAAGGCGUAGUCGAUGGGAAACAGGUUAAUAUUCCUGUACUUGGUGUUACUGCGAAGGGGGGACGGAGAAGGCUAUGUUGGCCGGGCGACGGUUGUCCCGGUUUAAGCGUGUAGGCUGGUUUUCCAGGCAAAUCCGGAAAAUCAAGGCCGAGGCGUGAUGACGAGGCACUACGGUGCUGAAGCAACAAAUGCCCUGCUUCCAGGAAAAGCCUCUAAGCAUCAGGUAACAUCAAAUCGUACCCCAAACCGACACAGGUGGUCAGGUAGAGAAUACCAAGGCGCUUGAGAGAACUCGGGUGAAGGAACUAGGCAAAAUGGUGCCGUAACUUCGGGAGAAGGCACGCUGAUACGUAGGUGAAGCGACUUGCUCGUGGAGCUGAAAUCAGUCGAAGAUACCAGCUGGCUGCAACUGUUUAUUAAAAACACAGCACUGUGCAAACACGAAAGUGGACGUAUACGGUGUGACGCCUGCCCGGUGCCGGAAGGUUAAUUGAUGGGGUUAGCGCAAGCGAAGCUCUUGAUCGAAGCCCCGGUAAACGGCGGCCGUAACUAUAACGGUCCUAAGGUAGCGAAAUUCCUUGUCGGGUAAGUUCCGACCUGCACGAAUGGCGUAAUGAUGGCCAGGCUGUCUCCACCCGAGACUCAGUGAAAUUGAACUCGCUGUGAAGAUGCAGUGUACCCGCGGCAAGACGGAAAGACCCCGUGAACCUUUACUAUAGCUUGACACUGAACAUUGAGCCUUGAUGUGUAGGAUAGGUGGGAGGCUUUGAAGUGUGGACGCCAGUCUGCAUGGAGCCGACCUUGAAAUACCACCCUUUAAUGUUUGAUGUUCUAACGUGGACCCGUGAUCCGGGUUGCGGACAGUGUCUGGUGGGUAGUUUGACUGGGGCGGUCUCCUCCUAAAGAGUAACGGAGGAGCACGAAGGUUGGCUAAUCCUGGUCGGACAUCAGGAGGUUAGUGCAAUGGCAUAAGCCAGCUUGACUGCGAGCGUGACGGCGCGAGCAGGUGCGAAAGCAGGUCAUAGUGAUCCGGUGGUUCUGAAUGGAAGGGCCAUCGCUCAACGGAUAAAAGGUACUCCGGGGAUAACAGGCUGAUACCGCCCAAGAGUUCAUAUCGACGGCGGUGUUUGGCACCUCGAUGUCGGCUCAUCACAUCCUGGGGCUGAAGUAGGUCCCAAGGGUAUGGCUGUUCGCCAUUUAAAGUGGUACGCGAGCUGGGUUUAGAACGUCGUGAGACAGUUCGGUCCCUAUCUGCCGUGGGCGCUGGAGAACUGAGGGGGGCUGCUCCUAGUACGAGAGGACCGGAGUGGACGCAUCACUGGUGUUCGGGUUGUCAUGCCAAUGGCACUGCCCGGUAGCUAAAUGCGGAAGAGAUAAGUGCUGAAAGCAUCUAAGCACGAAACUUGCCCCGAGAUGAGUUCUCCCUGACCCUUUAAGGGUCCUGAAGGAACGUUGAAGACGACGACGUUGAUAGGCCGGGUGUGUAAGCGCAGCGAUGCGUUGAGCUAACCGGUACUAAUGAACCGUGAGGCUUAACCUUACAACGCCGAAG